rnacentral:tRNA from 1 species
GCGAAAGUGGCGGAACUGGCAGACGCGCGGGCCUUAGGAGCCCGUGGGGCGACCCGUGGGGGUUCGAGUCCCCCCUUUCGCA